AGAGUUUGAUCCUGGCUCAGAACGAACGCUGGCGGCAUGCCUAACACAUGCAAGUCGAACGAGGGCUUCGGCCCUAGUGGCGCACGGGUGAGUAACGCGUGGGAACCUGCCCUGUGGUACGGAAAACUCCGGGAAACUGAGAGCUAAUACCGUAUGUGUCUUGAGGGACAAAGAUUUAUCGCCAUGGGAUGGGCCCGCGUAGGAUUAGCUUGUUGGUGGGGUAACGGCCUACCAAGGCAACGAUCCUUAGCUGGUCUGAGAGGAUGAUCAGCCACACUGGGACUGAGACACGGCCCAGACUCCUACGGGAGGCAGCAGUGGGGAAUAUUGGACAAUGGGCGCAAGCCUGAUCCAGCAAUGCCGCGUGAGUGAUGAAGCCUUCGGGUUGUAAAGCUCUUUCGCACGCGACGAUGAUGACGCGUAGCGUGAGAAGAAGCCCCGGCUAACUUCGUGCCAGCAGCCGCGGUAAUACGAAGGGGGCUAGCGUUGUUCGGAAUUACUGGGCGUAAAGGGCGCGUAGGCGGUACUUCAAGUCAGGCGUGAAAGCCCCGGGCUCAACCUGGGAACCGCGCUUGAGACUGGAGAACUAGAGUUCGGGAGAGGAUGGUGGAAUUCCCAGUGUAGAGGUGAAAUUCGUAGAUAUUGGAAGAAC
rnacentral:rRNA from 1 species